AACGAACGUUGGCGGUAGGCUUAACACAUGCAAGUCGAACGAGAAAUCACCUUCGGGUGGUGGACAGUGGCGAACGGGUGAGUAAUACUUGGGAAUCUACCCUGAAGUGGGGGAUAACAGUUGGAAACGACUGCUAAUACCGCAUAAUCCAUAUUGGGAAAGCUUUAGUGCUUUAGGAUGAGCCCAAGCCUGAUUAGCUUGUUGGUGAGGUAAGAGCUCACCAAGGCGACGAUCAGUAGCUGGUUUGAGAGGAUGAUCAGCCACACUGGGACUGAGACACGGCCCAGACUCCUACGGGAGGCAGCAGUGGGGAAUAUUGCGCAAUGGAGGAAACUCUGACGCAGCCAUACCGCGUGUACGAUGAAGGCCUUAGGGUUGUAAAGUACUUUUACCAGUCAUAAUAGUGAUAGUAGCUGGAGAAAAAGUCCCGGCUAAUUCAG
rnacentral:rRNA from 1 species